rnacentral:rRNA from 1 species
GACGGAGGGUGCAAGCGUUGUUCGGAAUUACUGGGCGUAAAGCGCGUGUAGGCGGUUCGAUAAGUCGAAUGUGAAAGCCCGAGGCUCAACUUCGGAAGUGCAUUCGAUACUGUCGGGCUUGAGUACGGGAGAGGGAAGCGGAAUUCCUGGUGUAGAGGUGAAAUUCGUAGAUAUCAGGAGGAACACCGGUGGCGAAGGCGGCUUCCUGGACCGAUACUGACGCUGAGACGCGAAAGCGUGGGGAG